GACGAACGCUGGCGGCGUGCUUAACACAUGCAAGUCGAACGCGCCUGUCCUCUGGGUUUCUGGGGGGUGGGUGAGUGGCGAACGGGUGAGUAACACGUGAGUAACCUUCCCCCUUCUUCGGGAUAACGGUCUGAAAGGGCUGCUAAUACCGGGUAUUCACUGGUCUCCGCAUGGGGUCUGGUGGAAAGGUUUUUUUCUGGUGGGGGAUGGGCUCGCGGCCUAUCAGCUUGUUGGUGGGGUGAUGGCCCACCAAGGCUUUGACGGGUAGCCGGCCUGAGAGGGUGACCGGUCACAUUGGGGCUGAGAUACGGCCCAGACUCCUACGGGGGGCAGCAGUGGGGAAUAUUGAGCAAUGGGCGCAAGCCUGAUGCAGCGACGCCGCGUGAGGGAUGGAGGCCUUCGGGUUGUGAACCUCUUUCGCCCGUGGUCAAGCCGCGACGUGGGUCGUGGUGAGGGUAGUGGGUAAAGAAGCGCCGGCUAACUACGUG
rnacentral:rRNA from 1 species